AAAAACCUAACCCUAACCCUAGCCCUAGCCAAAAACCUAACCCUAACCCUAACCCUAGCCAAAAAGCUAACCCUAACCCUAACCCUAGCCCUUGCCAAAAACCUAACCCUAGCUGUCUCUCUAUCUCUCUAUAUCUGUAUGUCUGUAUGUCUGUCUCUCUGUCUGUCUGUGUCUGUCUCCCUAUCUGUCUGUCUCUGUGUCUGUCUCUCUGUCUCUUUCGCUCUGUCUGUCUCUGUCUGUCUGUCUCUUUGUCACUGUCUGUGACUCUGUCUGUCUCUGUCUGUCUGUCUCCCUGUCUCUCUGUCUGUCUCUCUGUCUUCUCUGACUUCCAACCCAAAGUCAUCAAAAAAGACAAGGAGGGGCACUUCGUUCUCAUCAAAGGUAAAAUCCUCCAAGAGGAACUCUCCAUAUCUACGCUCCAAAUGCAAGGG
rnacentral:lncRNA from 1 species